GAGAAGAGCUCCCUAGACACCCA
rnacentral:piRNA from 1 species